GACGAACCGAGCGAACGUUAUUCGGAAUCACUGGGCUUAAAGGGCGCGUAGGCGGGCCAUCAAGUCAGGGGUGAAAGCCCCCAGCUCAACUGGGGAACUGCGUCUGAUACUGGAUGGCUUGAGCUCGGGAGAGGGAUGCGGAAUUCCAGGUGUAGCGGUGAAAUGCGUAGAUAUCUGGAGGAACACCGGUGGCGAAGGCGGCAUCCUGGACCGAUACUGACGCUGAGGAGCGAAAGCCAGGGGAGCAAACGGG
rnacentral:rRNA from 1 species